UACAGAGGUCUCAAGCGUUGUUCGGAUUCAUUGGGCGUAAAGGGUGCGUAGGCGGCGGGGCAAGUCUGAUGUGAAAUCCCGGGGCUCAACCCCGGAACUGCAUUGGAUACUGCCUUGCUAGAGUACUGGAGAGGGAACUGGAAUUUACGGUGUAGCAGUGAAAUGCGUAGAGAUCGUAAGGAAGGCCAGUGGCGAAGGCGAGUUCCUGGACAGUUACUGACGCUGAGGCACGAAGGCCAGGGGAGCAAACGGG
rnacentral:rRNA from 1 species